rnacentral:rRNA from 1 species
GACGAACCGUGCUAACGUUGUCCGGAUUUACUGGGCGUAAAGAGCGCGCAGGCGGCUGGUCAAGUCCGAUGUGAAAGCUCCCGGCUUAACUGGGAAAUUGCAUCGGAAACUGAUCGGCUGGAAGGUGGGAGAGGGUAGCGGAAUUCCCGGUGUAGUGGUGAAAUGCGUAGAUAUCGGGAGGAACACCAGUGGCGAAAGCGGCUACCUGGCCCAUUCUUGACGCUGAGGCGCGAAAGCUAGGGGAGCAAACGGG